rnacentral:rRNA from 1 species
UGGGGAAUCUUAGACAAUGGGCGCAAGCCUGAUCUAGCCAUACCGCGUGAGUGAUGAAGGCCCUAGGGUCGUAAAGCUCUUUCGCCAGGGAUGAUAAUGACAGUACCUGGUAAAGAAGUCCCGGCUAACUCCGUGCCAGCAGCCGCGGUAAUACGGAGGGGACUAGCGUUGUUCGGAAUUACUGGGCGUAAAGCGCACGUAGGCGGACCAGAAAGUUGGGGGUGAAAUCCCGGGGCUCAACCCCGGAACUGCCUCCAAAACUCCUGGUCUAGAGUUCGAGAGAGGUGAGUGGAAUUCCGAGUGUAGAGGUGAAAUUCGUAGAUAUUCGGAGGAACACCAGUGGCGAAGGCGGCUCACUGGCUCGAUACUGACGCUGAGGUGCGAAAGCGUGGGGAGCAAACAGG